rnacentral:lncRNA from 1 species
CAAAAAAAAAAAGAGAAAAAGAAAAAGGCAAUUGACUCUUUAAAAUGAAAAUAAUGCAUUGCUGCGUUUAUCAUUAAAUUAUUUGGUAAUAUCGCAAAGGACAGAAAGGGGUAAAUAGAAGUAUACUGUUGUAAGAUUGUAUUGUAGGUGCAAUGGCAUAGUAUUAAUUCAGUUAAUAUAGAUUGCGACCCAUAGAACCGUAAGUGAGUUAAAAUGCAGUAAUUUUUUUUAAAUGGCUAACCCAUAACGCAGGAAAGGAGGAAACAAAAAAAUGGGUACAACAAAUAGAAUAAAAUAGCAAAGUGAUUACAUAAAUUCAACCAAAUUAGUAAUUAAUGUUAAAUGUAAGUUCACUAAACAUUCCAACUAAAACUCAGAUGUUAAUCAGUUUUUAAUGAAGAUUAUCUGCUGCCUUGAAAAUAUGUAUUUUAUAUAUAAAGACAUGGAUAGAGUACAUGUAAAAUGAUAGAGAAAAAAGAUCCUAUGUAAACAGUAAUAAGAAACUGGAGUGGCUGUAUUAACAUCAGACAAAAUGAUGCCAAGACAAGGAGUAUUACCAGAUGUAGUAGUUGGGGUCCAGUUAGGAGACAAAAACCACCAUUUAAACAAGGAAAUUUUAAUGUAAGAAAUGAUUAGAAUAAUGGCAAAUUGACUAGUGAAAGUUAAGAUAAUUUUAACAAAUAAAAGACUAGCAGGUAUCAGGAGCAACCGUUAUGGCUAAGACUGAGAUAGAGCUCCCAAUAUAGAGCUUUCCCCCUACUAGGGCUGAAAUCCAGAUGUCUUUGGAAAGGGCACACCUUUGAUUCACUGGAUAGUGGAGAAGUCACUAAGGUGCCUCGUAAGUGGGAGCAUAAGUGGGAGUUGCUAGAAGUUUCUGGGGUGCCAGGGGGGCCAUCCACAGAAAAGUGGAGUCUUAAAUCAUCAGAGUGAACUCCCUGAGUGUCAGAGGGAGCUGGUGGUGGCUGGGCACUGCUGGAACCGAAAUCUGGAGAAGCAGCCCUCUAGGAGCCCAGCAUGCCUGCAGGACGGCCCUGGGAUUCUAGGACUGAAAAGAUGUGGGGAGCAGUGACUUGGUUUGGUGUGCAGGCCCAUACCAUCUGGGAAAUCCCGGAUAAUCUCCAGCUGAACACUUGAGAAAAUUGCAGCCUGCAGCAUGGGAGAAACCACACAGGGAAUAAGCAUGCAGGGGAGGGUGGAGUGUGCCCUACAACAGCCUAGAGAGUGAAUCAUACCAGAACCAGGAAAGGAAAAUCCCUUCCUCCUCCAGCGUCCUCCAGAACCCUCUACUGACAAGGUUUAACACUCGGCUAGCUAGCAAAGGAGAAAUAUUUCCAAAAUCCAUCUUCAUUUAUUACAAAGUAGGCCAAAAUAUGGUGAAUUUGGAGCUAAGAGGAAAUACAUCAAUAAACAGCAUAGUCUGCCCCUUUGAGUACUCACUGUCCAUAUAUACCUUCUACGCACACUUGAAUGCCAUACAAUAAUAACUCUACAUUUCACCUAACAGGAUACUCAUCAUCUCCAAAAUGAGGAGAUGCAACAAUCAUUGCAUACAGUGCUGUGGCUAUAUUAAUUGCCCUUUAGAAUCAUCACAGUUCCACUGGAUAGUCUGUUGCCCAAAGACUAAUUGUGAAUUUAACCUCUAGCAACUUGCAUAUAAAAUUUUUGUUAAUAGAAGGGAGCAAGAAGAGGAAAAUGUGAGCAUAUAUACAUAAGUACAUACACAUGAAAAGCAAAAAAGGAAAUAUUCAAAAUGACUACAGCCCUUUUUUCUGCAGUUGGUCACAAGGCCCUAAUUUUUACUUAUGGCUUCCUUCUUCUACUGUUCAUUGAUUUCGCCCACCUCCAGCCAGAACCUGGUAGAGUAAUUCAAACUCUCAUUCCUGAAAGUUCCAAGUCCUCAAUUAUCCUGCCUUUUAUUUUGGUUUCUGUACUUUUCUACUACACUUUUCUAUUGCAUAUGGAGUACUAAUAUACACCCCAAACUGUCUCCUGGGUUACAGACAUAGUCUUCCUUGCCCCUAAUGUAUAAAGGCAACCCAGUUUCCUCUUGGCAAUAGGGAUCAGUCACUCCACCUAGUAGAGCAAUCCACCUUUCUGCCUGUUGAUUCAGUAGCAUGAGGAGUCCAGAAUAGCCAAAUGGAAAUCUUUCUCCAAUUCAGUGGAACCAUUGUGUCUCAUGGUGGAAACCAUGUUCCCUUUAAGAACUCAGAUCUCUGAAAUGGCAGAGCUCAAAGAUGCCAGAAGCAGCAGCAAAUAUUCUGCAAGUGUGUUAUUAGGUGUUGCUACGGUCUGAAUGUUGGUGACCUCCCAAAAUUUAUAUGUUGAAAUCUAAUCACAAACGUAAUAGUAUUAAGAAAUGGGGCCUUUAGGAAGUGAUUAAGUCAUGAGAGUGGAACCCUCAUAAAUGAGAUUAGUGCCUUGGUAAAAGAGGUGCAAGGGAACUGUUCACCCCUUCCUCCAGGUGAAGAGCCACAAGAAGAUGCCAUAUUGGAAGCAGAAAGCAAGCCCUCGCCAGGCACUGAAUCUGCUUGAUCUGGGACUUCCCAGCAUCUAGAACUAGAAACAGAACCAAUGGGAUGUACAUAAAGAGAUUUAUUGUAAGAAAUCGGCACAUGUGAUUAUGGAGGCUGACAAAUCCCAAGAUCUGCAGGGGGAGGUGGCAAGCUGGAGACUCAGGGGAGCAUGUCUUGAACCAGAGCCAAUGUGGGUUUCCACAGACCACGGGGCAAGACACGUUGACUUUACCUCCACUCAUAUCUGCUGUACAGAAAACCCAACAUGAUUAAUCUAGCCUACAAUUUGACAGAGACAGAAUUGAAUAUAAGCAGUUAUUCCUCAGGUGCCCCCAGUGAUUACCUGCUCUUCCAACAGAACAGAAAAGGUCUUAACGACCACGGGAUAAAGACACCAUUCUGUGUUUCAAGGCUGGAGUUAUCCAGGAAUAAAGCUAUAUCUUCAAGCACUGUUGGUUUAAAAUCUAAAUCUAAUAUUUAGCUUUAUGUAAAGGAAUUCGGACAUAGCAAUCUAAGUUUCUCCGUGCAUACCCUUUAAAGUAAUCAUGUAGAUAUCUACAUUUUCUGGAACAUGGACAGUCUGGUUGCAGACAAUGGUCUUCAUUCUCACAGUAGACACAGCGAAAAGAUGGUUUUUUACUCUUUAGAUUCAUCUUCAAAGGAAGAAAUCUCCUAGUACCAAAAACGUAAAAUUGUUUUCAGCUUCCUGUUACUUCUCAUUUUUGUUUCUAUAAAACAGUGAAGGGAUUAUUACAUAGGGGACUUUUUUGUUUUUUACAUUUACACAUG